rnacentral:misc_RNA from 1 species
UUUCCGUAGGUGAACCUGCGGAAGGAUCAUUAAAGAGAAUAUGCCCUUCGGGGUAGAUCUCCCACCCUUUGUUUAUAUUACCUUUGUUGCUUUGGCAGGCCCGUCUUCGGACCACCGGCUUCGGCUGGUAAGCGCCCGCCAGAGGACCCAAAAUCCUGAAUAUUAGUGUCGUCUGAGUACUAUAUAAUAGUUAAAACUUUCAACAACGGAUCUCUUGGUUCUG